rnacentral:rRNA from 1 species
CGGGCCGCACAAGCGGUGGAGCAUGUGGUUUAAUUCGAUGCAACGCGAAGAACCUUUACCUAGGCUUGACAUCCCUGGAAUUUGUGGAACACAAAAGUGCCUUUCGGGGAACCAGGAGACAGGUGCUGCAUGGCUGUCGUCAGCUCGUGUCGUGAGAUGUUCGGUUAAGUCCGCUAACGAGCGCAACCCUCGUCGUGUGUUAUACGUGUCACACGAUACUGCCGGUAUCAAGCCGGAGGAAGGUGGGAUGAUGUCAAGUCAGCAUGGCCUUUAUAUCCUGGGCUACACACACGCUACAAUGGCAGAUACAAUAGGUUGCGAAACCGCGAGGUGGAGCCAAUCCUCAAAGUCUGUCUCAGUUCAGAUUGUAGGCUGCAACUCGCCUGCAUGAAGUUGGAGUUGCUAGUAACCGCAGGUCAGCAAUACUGCGGUGAAUACGUUCCCGGGGAUU